rnacentral:rRNA from 1 species
AUACGGAGGGUGCGAGCGUUAAUCGGAAUUACUGGGCGUAAAGCGUACGUAGGCGGUUGGGUAAGUUAGAUGUUAAAGCCCCGGGCUUAACCUGGGAACUGCAUUUAAAACUGGCGAACUAGAGUUGAGUAGAGGGGAGUGGAAUUUCAGGUGUAGCGGUGAAAUGCGUAGAGAUCUGAAGGAACACCAGUGGCGAAGGCGACUCCCUGGACUCGAACUGACGCUGAGGUACGAAAGCGUGGGUAGCAAACGGGAUUAGAAACCCUAGUAGUCC